CCUACGGGAGGCAGCAGUGGGGAAUAUUGGACAAUGGGCGAAAGCCUGAUCCAGCAAUGCCGCGUGAGUGAUGAAGGCCUUAGGGUUGUAAAGCUCUUUUACCAGGGAUGAUAAUGACAGUACCUGGAGAAUAAGCUCCGGCUAACUCCGUGCCAGCAGCCGCGGUAAUACGGAGGGAGCUAGCGUUGUUCGGAAUUACUGGGCGUAAAGCGUACGUAGGCGGUUAUUCAAGUCAGAGGUGAAAGCCUGGAGCUCAACUCCAGAACUGCCUUUGAAACUAGAUAGCUAGAAUCUUGGAGAGGUGAGUGGAAUUCCGAGUGUAGAGGUGAAAUUCGUAGAUAUUCGGAAGAACACCAGUGGCGAAGGCGACUCACUGGACAAGUAUUGACGCUGAGGUACGAAAGCGUGGGGAGCAAACAGGAUUAGAUACCCUGGUAGUCCACGCCGUAAACGAUGAUAACUAGCUGUUCGGGCUCUACGAGCUUGAGUGGCGCAGCUAACGCAUUAAGUUAUCCGCCUGGGGAGUACGGUCGCAAGNUUAAAACUCAAAGUUGAAGUUGACGG
rnacentral:rRNA from 1 species